rnacentral:rRNA from 1 species
AUUGAACGCUGGCGGCAUGCUUUACACAUGCAAGUCGAACGGCAGCGCGGGGGCAACCCUGGCGGCGAGUGGCGAACGGGUGAGUAAUGCAUCGGAACGUAUCCUGUAAUGGGGGAGUAACGUAGCGAAAGUUACGCUAAUACCGCAUACGCUCGAGAGAGGAAAGUGGGGGAUCGCAAGACCUCACGUUAUAGGAGCGGCCGAUGUCCGAUUAGCUAGUUGGUGGGGUAAAGGCCUACCAAGGCGACGAUCGGUAGCUGGUCUGAGAGGAUGAUCAGCCACACUGGGACUGAGACACGGCCCAGACUCCUACGGGAGGCAGCAGUGGGGAAUUUUGGACAAUGGGCGAAAGCCUGAUCCAGCCAUGCCGCGUGCAGGAAGAAGGCCUCGG